GUGUACGCUGCGGGGUACCCCUAUUCUUGCCCCUCUAGCGCACCUUCUGGUGAGCGGCUCCCGGGUGAGUAACGCGUGGGAAUAUGCCCUUUGGUACGGAAUAGUCCUGGGAAACUGGGGGUAAUACCGUAUGCGCCCUUCGGGGGAAAGAUUUAUCGCCAAAGGAUUGGCCCGCGUUGGAUUAGGUAGUUGGUGGGGUAAUGGCCUACCAAGCCGACCAUCCAUAGCUGGUUUGAGAGGAUGAUCAGCCACACUGGGACUGAGACACGGCCCAUACUCCUACGGGAGGCAGCAGUGGGGAAUCUUAAACAAUGGGGGCAACCCUGAUCUAGCCAUGCCGCGUGAUUGAUGAAGGCCCUAGGGUUGUAAAGCUCUUUCACCUGGGAAGAUAAUGACGCUACCAGCAGAAGAAGCCCCGGCUAACUCCGUGCCAGCAGCCGCGGUAAUACGGAGGGGGCUAGCGUUGUUCGGAAUUACUGGGCGUAAAGCGCACGUAGGCGGACCGGAAAGUUGGGGGUGAAAUCCCGGGGCUCAACCCCGGAACUGCCUUCAAACUAUCGGUCUGGAGUUCGAGAGAGGUGAGUGGAAUUCCGAGUGUAGAGGUGAAUUCGUAUAUAUUCUGAGGAACACCAGUGCCGAAGCGGCUCACUACUCGAUACUGACGCUGAGUGCGAAAGCGUGUGAGA
rnacentral:rRNA from 1 species